rnacentral:rRNA from 1 species
AAAAAUCCGCGCGGCUUAGCUGAGGCAUGAUAACGAGGGCCUUCGGGCCUGAAGCAACUGAUACCCUGCUUCCAGGAAAAGCCUCUAAGCUUCAGUCAUAGAGUGACCGUACCGCAAACCGACACAGGUGGGCUGGUAGAGAAUACCAAGGCGCUUGAGAGAACUCAGGAGAAGGAACUCGGCAAAUUGAUACCGUAACUUCGGGAGAAGGUAUGCCCCGUUAGCUUGUAGGAGAACAUCCGAAGGGCGAAGGGGCCGCAGAGAAUCGGUGGCUGCGACUGUUUAUUAAAAACACAGCACUGUGCAAACACGAAAGUGGACGUAUACGGUGUGACGCCUGCCCGGUGCCGGAAGGUUAAGUGAUGGGGUGCAAGCUCUUGAUCGAAGCCCCGGUAAACGGCGGCCGUAACAAUAACGGUCCUAAGGUAGCGAAAUUCCUUGUCGGGUAAGUUCCGACCUGCACGAAUGGCGUAACGAUGGCCACACUGUCUCCUCCUGAGACUCAGCGAAGUUGAAAUGUUUGUGAAGAUGCAAUCUACCCGCGGCUAGACGGAAAGACCCCAUGAACCUUUACUGUAGCUUUGCAUUGGACUUUGACGGGAUUUGUGUAGGAUAGGUGGGAGGCUAUGAAACCGGGACGCUAGUUUCGGUGGAGCCAACCUUGAAAUACCACCCUGGUGUCGUCGAGGUUCUAACCCAGGUCUGUGAAUCCAGAUCGGGGACCGUGCAUGGUGGGCAGUUUGACUGGGGCGGUCUCCUCCUAAAGCGUAACGGAGGAGUACGAAGGUCACCUAGGUACGGUCGGACAUCGUACUGAUAGUGCAAUGGCAAAGGUGGCUUGACUGCGAGACCCACAAGUCGGGCAGGUGCGAAAGCAGGUCAUAGUGAUCCGGUGGUUCUGUAUGGAAGGGCCAUCGCUCAACGGAUAAAAGGUACUCUGGGGAUAACAGGCUGAUUCCGCCCAAGAGUUCACAUCGACGGCGGAGUUUGGCACCUCGAUGUCGGCUCAUCACAUCCUGGGGCUGUAGCCGGUCCCAAGGGUAUGGCUGUUCGCCAUUUAAAGUGGUACGUGAGCUGGGUUUAAAACGUCGUGAGACAGUUUGGUCCCUAUCUGCCGUGGGCGCUGGAAGUUUGAGAGGGCUUGCUCCUAGUACGAGAGGACCGGAGUGAACGCACCCCUGGUGUACCGGUUGUGACGCCAGUCGCAUCGCCGGGUAGCUAUGUGCGGAAGAGAUAACCGCUGAAAGCAUCUAAGCGGGAAACUCGCCUCAAGAUGAGACUUCCCCGUGGCCUUGAGCCCCCUGAAGGGUCGUUGAAGACCACAACGUUGAUAGGUCGGGUGUGGAAGCGUGGCAACACGUUAAGCUAACCGAUACUAAUUGCCCGUGUGGCUUGAUCC